rnacentral:rRNA from 1 species
GUCCACGCCGUAACGAUGGAUACUAGCUGUUCGGAGCAAUCUGAGUGGCUAAGCGAAAGUGAUAAGUAUCCCACCUGGGAGUACGUUCGCAAGAAUGAAACUCAAAGGAAUUGACGGGGCCCGCACAAGCGGUGGAGCAUGUGGUUUAAUUCGAUGAUACGCGAGGAACCUUACCAAGGCUUAAAAUGGGAAACGACAGGUUUUGGAAACAGACUUUUCUUCGGACGUUUUUCAAGGUGCUGCAUGGUUGUCGU